GGCUGGUGCAAAGGUAGUGAGUUAUUUCACUUGAUUGUUCACAGUCAGUUACAGGUCAAACUCCUUGUUCUACUCUGUCCCCUCUUCUCACUACUGCGCUUGACUAGGCUAAA
rnacentral:Y_RNA from 1 species